UAGGGAAUCUUCCACAAUGGACGCAAGUCUGAUGGAGCAACGCCGCGUGAGUGAAGAAGGUUUUCGGAUCGUAAAGCUCUGUUGUUGGUGAAGAAGGAUAGAGGCAGUAACUGGUCUUUAUUUGACGGUAAUCAACCAGAAAGUCACGGCUAACUACGUGCCAGCAGCCGCGGUAAUACGUAGGUGGCAAGCGUUGUCCGGAUUUAUUGGGCGUAAAGCGAGCGCAGGCGGAAUGAUAAGUCUGAUGUGAAAGCCCACGGCUCAACCGUGGAACUGCAUCGGAAACUGUCAUUCUUGAGUGCAGAAGAGGAGAGUGGAAUUCCAUGUGUAGCGGUGGAAUGCGUAGAUAUAUGGAAGAACACCAGUGGCGAAGGCGGCUCUCUGGUCUGCAACUGACGCUGAGGCUCGAAGGCAUGGGUAGCGAACAGG
rnacentral:rRNA from 1 species